GGCAGAGUCAUUUACAAAUGAGAUAUCAACAGAUGCUGUUAAAGCUGGUCCUGUAAGAGAUGCAUCGCUACAAAAUUAAGAAUUGGGAUGUGUUCUGUAUUGUGCUGAAACUUUGGAAGAAUAAUUGUCACUUACGGACGGAUUUGUUCAGGUAAAUGGAGAACGCAGAAGAAUUGGCCAUGAAGAAUGAUUGGAUUUGUCCCAACUGCACCGGGGCAUAAUAAUCUGCAAAAACUUAAAUAAUUGCUAGAAAACUAAAAUCGAAAGUCUGAUAGAUGUGAAUGCCAUGUCAAUCACAUCCUCUUUUUGUUAGAAUAAUCUCAAACCAGUUAUUAAUGUUUCUAAGUACUACCCUUUUUGAAAGA